rnacentral:rRNA from 1 species
GACAGAGGUGCCAAGCGUUAGGCGGAAUCACUGGGCUUAAAGCGUGUGUAGGCGGAUCGUUAAGUGUCUUGUGAAAUCCCACGGCUCACCCGUGGAACGGCUGGGCAUACUGGCGAUCUUGGGCCAACUAGGGGCAACUGGAACAAGCGGUGGAGCGGUGAAAUGCGUAGAUAUCGCUUGGAACGCCGAAGGUGAAAACAGGCUACUGGGGUCGUGCCGACGCUGAGACACGAAAGCCAGGGGAG